rnacentral:rRNA from 1 species
UUUUGGACAAUGGGCGAAAGCCUGAUCCAGCCAUUCCGCGUGAGUGAAGAAGGCCUUCGGGUUGUAAAGCUCUUUCGCACCCCCCCCAAACGAUGCAGUCGAAUAAACUGUGUUAAUGACGGUACCUUGAUAAGAAGCACCGGCUAACUACGUGCCAGCAGCCGCGGUAAUACGUAGGGUGCAAGCGUUAAUCGGAAUUACUGGGCGUAAAGCGUGCGCAGGCGGUUUUGUAAGUCAGAUGUGAAAUCCCCGAGCUCAACUUGGGAACUGCGUUUGAAACUACAAGACUAGAAUAUGUCAGAGGGGGGUAGAAUUCCACGUGUAGCAGUAAAUGCGUAGAGAUGGGAAGAAUCCAAGGGAAGCAGCCCCCUGGAAAUUUAGCUCAGCAGAAA